GCAGAACGCGAAGAACCUUACCAGCUUUUGACAUGUCCGGUUUGAUCGGCAGAGAUGCCUUUCUUCAGUUCGGCUGGCCGGAACACAGGUGCUGCAUGGCUGUCGUCAGCUCGUGUCGUGAGAUGUUGGGUUAAGUCCCGCAACGAGCGCAACCCUCGCCCCUAGUUGCCAUCAUUCAGUUGGGAACUCUAGGGGGACUGCCGGUGAUAAGCCGCGAGGAAGGUGGGGAUGACGUCAAGUCCUCAUGGCCCUUACAGGCUGGGCUACACACGUGCUACAAUGGGCGUCACAGAGGGUCGCAAGAGCGCAAGCUGGAGCCAAUCCCCAAAAACGUCCUCAGUUCAGAUCGAGGUCUGCAACCCGACUCGUGAAGGUGGAAUCGCUAGUAAUCGCGGAUCAGAACGCCGCGGUGAAUACGUUCCC
rnacentral:rRNA from 1 species